AUUGAACGCUGGCGGCAUGCUUUACACAUGCAAGUCGAACGGUAACAGGCCGCAAGGUGCUGACGAGUGGCGAACGGGUGAGUAAUGCAUCGGAACGUGCCCAGUCGUGGAGGAUAACGCAGCGAAAGCUGCGCUAAUACCGCAUACGAUCUAUGGAUGAAAGCGGGGGACCGUAAGGCCUCGCGCGAUUGGAGCGGCCGAUGUCAGAUUAGGUAGUUGGUGGGGUAAAGGCUCACCAAGCCAACGAUCUGUAGCUGGUCUGAGAGGACGACCAGCCACACUGGGACUGAGACACGGCCCAGACUCCUACGGGAGGCAGCAGUGGGGAAUUUUGGACAAUGGGCGCAAGCCUGAUCCAGCAAUGCCGCGUGCAGGAAGAAGGCCUUCGGGUUGUAAACUGCUUUUGUACGGAACGAAACGGUCCUGGCUAAUACCUGGGGCUAAUGACGGUACCGUAAGGAUAAGCACCGGCUAACUACGUGCCAGCCGCCGCCGUAAUAC
rnacentral:rRNA from 1 species